AAAGGCUGCGGUAUUUUGACCGUACAAAGGUAGCAUAAUCAUUAGUUUUUUAAUUGAGAACUCGUAUGAAUGGUUUAACGAAAUAUUGACUGUUUCAUAAAAAUUUAUAUAGAAAUUAAUUUUUUAGUCAAAAAGCUAAAAUAAAUUUAAAAGACGAGAAGACCCUAUAGAGUUUUAUAUUAAAAAUUUUAUAAUUUAUUUAUAAAAAUUAAAGUUUUAUUAUUAUUUAUAUUUUGUUGGGGUGACAAUAAAAUUUUAUAACCUUUUAUUUUUUAUAAAACAAUGAUUUUUGGUUAAUUGAUCCACUAUUAGUGAUUAAAAGAUUAAAUUACCUUAGGGAUAACAGCG
rnacentral:rRNA from 1 species